ensembl:lncRNA
GAAAACACUGGGCCUACCUCUCUAACCCCUCCACAAAGUCCCGACAGUGAGAUUCAAGAUGCAGUGCAAGCCAGACCAGGGUCCUCACGUCAUUCAGCAGGCAAGAAAGCAUCCAGAAAAACAAGAGACAAACUGCGCAAAGAAAACGAAGAACUAAAAAGGAAACUCAAACAUCAGAAGAAGCAGAAAGAAAAAUACAAGAAAAGACUCCAGCGAGCAACCAAGAAUAAAGACUCUCCCAGGUGCAAAGUCCGUCAGUUGCUGAGGAAUUGUACUGUGAACAGCAAGUACAGAGCUUGACAAGAGAGGACUGAGAGGGACCUGGAAUUUUUUCGAGUCCAGUCACGGCAAAGGAGCACCAGAUGGUGUAGGUGCUGCCUUAAAGAGAUCAGCAGACAACCUCAUCAGCCAUGGCCGGGACAUCAUCAAUGCUUAUGAGCUAUUCAAGGCCCUCUCUGAGACGGACACCUCAAUCAAAUUGUAUUUUAUGGAAAAUGAAGCUGUUGAGCAGGCACUGCAAAGGAUGCCGUCCACCAUUCCACCAGUCCCAGGAACCAUGCGCAUUCAUCAGGUCAUCACUCUUGCUCGAGGGGAGAUAACAUAUCGAGAUGUCAGCUGCAUGUGCUCCACCAAUGGAAAGCUUGAAUGUGAAUGCUGGAAUACAAAGCAUUUCAGCUUUGUUAGCAAAAUCCCAGCUACUGUGUCACCAGCUACUGUGUCCCAAGGGCAGAAACCAAUCAAUUGUGAUGAUCCUGGGGUAAUAGGGGAGUGGUGCGUGCUCACCUACGACAAGGCAUUGUACCCGGGGAUAAUCCUUGCCACAGAUGAAACGAACGUACAAGUCAAAUGCAUGCACCAUGCUGGAAGAACCAAAAACAGGUUAUUUUGGCCUGUACAAGAGGAUGUGCUGUG